CAGCAGCCACGGGAAUACGUAGGGUGCGAGCGUUAAUCGGAAUUACUGGGCGUAAAGCGUGCGCAGGCGGUUGUGUAAGACAGGUGUGAAAUCCCCGGGCUUAACCUGGGAACUGCGCUUGUGACUGCACAGCUAGAGUAUGGCAGAGGGGGGUGGAAUUCUACGUGUAGCAGUGAAAUGCGUAGAGAUGUGGAGGAACACCGAUGGCGAAGGCAGCCCCCUGGGCCAAUACUGACGCUCAUGCACGAAAGCGUGGGGAGCAAACAGGAUUAGAGACCCGUGUAGUCCCUGUCUCUUAUAC
rnacentral:rRNA from 1 species